rnacentral:rRNA from 1 species
AGAGUUUGAUCCUGGCUCAGGAUGAACGCUAGCGACAGGCUUAACACAUGCAAGUCGAGGGGCAGCGGGGGAGUGGCAACACUCCCGCCGGCGACCGGCGCACGGGUGAGUAACACGUAUGCAAUCUGCCCCGGGCAGGGGGAUAAUCGGAAGAAAUUCCGUCUAAUACCGCAUAACGCCUCUGGGGGGCAUCCCCCUGGGGCCAAAGGUGGCGACACCGGCCCGGGAUGAGCAUGCGGCGCAUUAGCCAGUUGGCGGUGCAACGGACCACCAAGGCGACGAUGCGUAGGGGUUCUGAGAGGAAGGUCCCCCACACUGGUACUGAGACACGGACCAGACUCCUACGGGAGGCAGCAGUGAGGAAUAUUGGUCAAUGGGCGAGAGCCUGAACCAGCCAAGUCGCGUGAGGGAAGACGGUCCUAUGGAUUGUAAACCUCUUUAGCCGGGGAGCAAGGGGCGCCGCGUGCGGCGUCUCGGAGAGUACCCGGAGAAUAAGCAUCGGCUAACUCCGUGCCAGCAGCCGCGGUAAUACGGAGGAUGCGAGCGUUAUCCGGAUUUAUUGGGUUUAAAGGGUGCGUAGGCGGGCCUUCAAGUCAGCGGUAAAAUCGCGGCGCUUAACGCCGCCCCGCCGUUGAAACUGGAGGUCUUGAGUGAACGAGAAGUGAGCGGAAUGCGUGGUGUAGCGGUGAGAUGCUUAGAUAUCACGCAGAACUCCGAUUGCGAAGGCAGCUCACCGGCGUUCAACUGACGCUGAAGCACGAAAGCGUGGGGAUCAAACAGGAUUAGAUACCCUGGUAGUCCACGCCGUAAACGAUGAAUGCUAGCCGUGCGAGGCGAAUGUGUCUUGCGUGGCCGAGCGAAAGCGUUAAGCAUUCCACCUGGGGAGUACGCCGGCAACGGUGAAACUCAAAGGAAUUGACGGGGGCCCGCACAAGCGGAGGAACAUGUGGUUUAAUUCGAUGAUACGCGAGGAACCUUACCCGGGCUCAAACGC